CAGCUCUGCACAGGAGCCCAGCCCUGGACUCCCAGCUCAGCCCACUCAGUGACCAGGACUGAACACAGCUGCUCACCAUGGAGAGUGUGCUCAGCUGGGUGUUCCUGGUGGCUGUUUUCAAAGGUGUCCAGUGUGAGGUGCAGCUGGUGGAGUCUGGGGGAGGCCUGGUGCAGCCUGGGGGUUCCCUGCGACUCUCCUGCACAGUCUCUGGAUUCACCUUAAGUAGCUACUACAUGCACUGGGUCCGCCAGUCUCCAGGGAAGGGGCUAGAGUGGGUUGGUGUAAUUAACCCAAGUAAUGGUAACACCAACUACCCAGACUCUGUGAAGGGCCGAUUCACCAUCUCCACUGAAAACUCCAAGAACAUGCUCUAUCUGCAAAUGAACAGUCUGACAGUCGAGGACACGGCCACCUAUUACUGUACCAGAGACACAGUGGUCUCUGGAGUCUCUGAUAGUGUGGUGUCUCUGGAACAACAAGACAGUAUCUACAUGGUCCGCAGAUAG